AGGGAACGCUGGCGGUAGGCCUAACACAUGCAAGUCGAACGGCAGCACAGUAAGAGCUUGCUCUUACGGGUGGCGAGUGGCGGACGGGUGAGGAAUACAUCGGAAUCUACUUUUUCGUGGGGGAUAACGUAGGGAAACUUACGCUAAUACCGCAUACGACCUACGGGUGAAAGCAGGGGAUCUUCGGACCUUGCGCGAUUGAAUGAGCCGAUGUCGGAUUAGCUAGUUGGCGGGGUAAAGGCCCACCAAGGCGACGAUCCGUAGCUGGUCUGAGAGGAUGAUCAGCCACACUGGAACUGAGACACGGUCCAGACUCCUACGGGAGGCAGCAGUGGGGAAUAUUGGACAAUGGGCGCAAGCCUGAUCCAGCCAUACCGCGUGGGUGAAGAAGGCCUUCGGGUUGUAAAGCCCUUUUGUUGGGAAAGAAAAGCAGCAGGUUAAUACCCCGCUGUCCUGACGGUACCCAAAGAAUAAGCACCGGCUAACUUCGUG
rnacentral:rRNA from 1 species